rnacentral:tRNA from 1 species
GCCUGGGUAGCUCAGUGGUUGAGCGCCUGACUUCGGCCCAGGGCGUGAUCCUGGGGUCCUGGGAUCGAGUCCUGAGUCAGGCU